CACAAGCGGUGGAUGAUGUGGUUUAAUUCGAUGCAACGCGAAAACCUUACCCACCUUUGACAUGUACGGAAUCCUUUAGAGAUAGAGGAGUGCUCGAAAGAGAACCGUAACACAGGUGCUGCAUGGCUGUCGUCAGCUCGUGUCGUGAGAUGUUGGGUUAAGUCCCGCAACGAGCGCAACCCUUGUCAUUAGUUGCUACAUUCAGUUGGGCACUCUAAUGAGACUGCCGGUGACAAACCGGAGGAAGGUGGGGAUGACGUCAAGUCCUCAUGGCCCUUAUAGGUGGGGCUACACACGUCAUACAAUGGAUGGUACAAAGGGUCGCCAACCCGCGAGGGGGAGCCAAUCCCAUAAAGCCAUUCGUAGUCCGGAUCGCAGUCUGCAACUCGACUGCGUGAAGUCGGAAUCGCUAGUAAUCGUGGAUCAGAAUGUCACGGUGAAUACGUUCCCGGGUCUU
rnacentral:rRNA from 1 species